GAACAGGGGUUUUUCUUCUCCCAGGGGGAUUGAGCAGACACAGGGUAAUUUGUAGUGAAAUUUCCAGCAGGGUUCGUUUUGCAGGUGGCUGAGUGCAGAGGGUGUGGUGAGGAAUGAGAGAGGCAAUUUGCUGGCUGAAGGCUGUGAAUAUGAGCAUUGUUGUACAGCAGCAGGUCGGGUCGUGAGGCGAUGGGCUUCGAGAUCAGUGGCGGUUUGAUAGCAGGAAAGGUGGCAAGGAGGGUGAUCCUUUGAGAUUUUCUAUUGGAUUCAAGUCAGGUGAUUGGCUGAGCUGUUCUAGCAGCUUUAUUUUAUUUCUCUGAAAGCAACUGAGAGUUUCCUUGGCUGUGUGUUUGGGAUCAUCGUCUUGCUGAAAUGUCCACCCUCAUUUCAUCUUCAUCGUCCUGGUAAAUGGCAACAGAUUUUGAUUAAGAAUGUCUAGAAAUCUUGCGAGGAGCACCUGCUCGUGGUCGGUUUAUGGUGAAAUGAUGUUCCUUCC
ensembl:lncRNA